CGCUAUCACUCCUACGGGGAGGCAGCAGUGGGGAAUUUGGACAAUCGGGGGCAACCCUGAUCCAGCCAUUCCGCGUGAGUGAAGAAGGCCUUCGGGUUGUAAAGCUCUUUCGGCAGGAACGAAACGGCGAGCUCUAACAUAGCUUGCUAAUGACGGUACCUGAAGAAGAAGCACCGGCUAACUACGUGCCAGCAGCCGCGGUAAUACGUAGGGUGCGAGCGUUAAUCGGAAUUACUGGGCGUAAAGCGUGCGCAGGCGGUUGUGUAAGACAGGUGUGAAAUCCCCGGGCUUAACCUGGGAACUGCGCUUGUGACUGCACGGCUAGAGUAUGGCAGAGGGGGGUGGAAUUCCACGUGUAGCAGUGAAAUGCGUAGAGAUGUGGAGGAACACCGAUGGCGAAGGCAGCCCCCUGGGCCAAUACUGACGCUCAUGCACGAAAGCGUGGGGAGCAAACAGGAUUAGAUACCCUGGUAG
rnacentral:rRNA from 1 species